rnacentral:misc_RNA from 1 species
GAUGAAGAACGUAGCGAAAUGCGAUAAGUAGUGUGAAUUGCAGAAUUCAGUGAAUCAUCGAAUCUUUGAACGCACAUUGCGCCCCUUGGUAUUCCAUGGGGCAUGCCUGUUCGAGCGUCAUUUGUACCUUCAAGCUCUGCUUGGUGUUGGGUGUUUGUCUCGCCUCUGCGUGUAGACUCGCCUUAAAACAAUUGGCAGCCGGCGUAUUGAUUUCGGAGCGCAGUACAUCUCGCGCUUUGCACUCAUAACGACGACGUCCAAAAGUACAUUUUUACACUCUUGACCUCGGAUCAGGUAGGGAUACCCGCUGAACUUAAGCAUAUCAAUAAGCGGAGG